UGGAUGACUAGUUCAUUUUGCAUUUCGGAUUGUUAUUUUUAUUGGAUGCGUAACCUAGUUCAGGAUUUUGGUACCCUGGAAUAACUCAAUCCCAUGAUGUGAGUGCAUUGAGGCAGAAAGAAAUCAAGGGAAAUGCUAUGAACAGCAGCAUCGUGCAGCUGUGGAGAUGAUGGUCGAAUUCAGGGAGGUGGAAGGAAAUUCUAGACUCAGAGGUGCCUGUGCCCAUGCAAGGUAAUCUCAAUCAAAACUUACAACAAUAAUGAUAGGAGAGCUGGGAAGAAUUCCUAAGCAGGCAGUUGGAGCUUGCUGUUGCUAAAGAAAAUGAAGCAAUUGCUACAGAAUCUCGACAGAUAGUUGAGGCAAGGAAGAACUAUGCUGAAGAGGAGGAGGAGGUGAAGCUAUUAAAGAAGUCUGUGGAAGAGCUAGAAUAUACUGUAAAUGUAUUGGAAAACAAGGUGGAGAUUGUCAAAGGAGAGGCUGAAAGGCCACAGUUGCAGAGAGAGGAGCUAGAAGGGGACCUUAUUGAAACAGUUCAUGUGCUGAUUGUUGAUAUUGUGCAUGGAUAUAAUUACUUUUGAAAACUUUAAAUAUGAACUUUAAACAGUUCAUAUGAUUAGUUUUGGAAAAUUGAUAUUGUGCAUGGAUAUAAUUGUUUUGUUGAUAUUGUGUUGAUUGUUGUCUUGAUGAAUGUUAAAUGGGUGAAAUA